UCUGAGAUGGCAACGGUGCCC
rnacentral:misc_RNA from 1 species